rnacentral:tRNA from 1 species
CAUUAGGUAGCUUAAAGCAAGCAAUGGUCUCUUAAACCAUUUAAUAAUAAUUAGCGUCUAUUUCUAAUGG